rnacentral:rRNA from 1 species
ACUCCUACGGGAGGCAGCAGUGGGGAAUAUUGCACAAUGGGCGCAAGCCUGAUGCAGCCAUGCCGCGUGUAUGAAGAAGGCCUUCGGGUUGUAAAGUACUUUCAGCAGUGAGGAAGGCGGGUACGUUAAUAGCGUGCUUGUUUGACGUUAGCUGCAGAAGAAGCACCGGCUAACUCCGUGCCAGCAGCCGCGGUAAUACGGAGGUGCGAGCGUUAAUCGGAAUUACUGGGCGUAAAGCGCAUGCAGGGUGGUUUGUUAAGUCAGAUGUGAAAGCCCGGGGCUCAACCUCGGAAUUGCAUUUGAAACUGGCAGGCUAGAGUCUUGUAGAGGGGGGUAGAAUUUCAGGUGUAGCGGUGAAAUGCGUAGAGAUCUGAAGGAAUACCAGUGGCGAAGGCGGCCCCCUGGACAAAGACUGACGCUCAGAUGCGAAAGCGUGGGGAGCAAACAGGAUU